rnacentral:rRNA from 1 species
AUUGAACGCUGGCGGCAGGCCUAACACAUGCAAGUCGAACGGUAACAGGAAGAAGCUUGCUUCUUUGCUGACGCGUGGCGGACGGGUGUGUAAUGUCUGGGAAACUGCCUGAUGGAGGGGGAUAACUACUGGAAACGGUAGCUAAUACCGCAUAACGUCGCAAGACCAAAGAGGGGGACCUUCGGGCCUCCUGCCAUCGGCUGUGACCAGAUUGGAUUAGCUAGUAGGUGGGGUAACGGCUCACCUAGGCGACGAUCCCUAGCUGAUCUGAGAGGAUGACCAGCCACACUGGAACUGAGACACGGUCCAGACUCCUACGGGAGGCAGCAGUAGGGAAUAUUGCACAAUGGGCGCAAGCCUGAUGCAGCCAUGCCGCGUGUAUGAAGAAGGCCUUCGGGUUGUAAAGUACUUUCAGCGGGGAGGAGGGUAGGAAAGUGAAUACCUUUGCUCAUUGACGUUACCCGCAGAAGAAGCACCGGCUAACUCCGUG